UUGUUUUUCAUUCACAAGUAGCCUAACCUCUUCACCUCUCUCUCUCUCUCUCUCUGUUCCAGUUCCGGUGGGGCCGCGGAUGCCCGGAUGAACAAUUUCACUUCUCACCGUCUUCCUUCCCGUUCAACUUUUCACCCUUCUUCUUACGUUACGGAAGCAUAUGAAUGCUGGCUUACCCUCCGGCGCUCAUACGUCUCCUUCAAAGAAGUAGAAGUGCAUUUGGACAAAAAGGACUCGUAACAAUUUAUGAUUGAGCCCGGCCGAGUGAUCGAAUCUAUUCCUGAAGCUAGUGACCAAAGCUUAAACCGAUUGUUGUUGGUGUAACCGGAUUACCAACCAUGCCCUAAACUGAAGUCUUUCAUGGAUCCACUUAUCCUUGAUGCAGAGGGCCAACUGCAACUGUGCCAAAACAAAUGGAAGAAGGCUCAGUAAGACCUGCUUUUGGAUUUGGUGGAGCCUGUGAGUCUAGGAGGAGGGAACCCAGCCGCUCCUGCACGCAACCAAUCAGUUGGCUGCUUCCGGCGUCCCUUUUUUUCGAUCGAGGCCAGGCCUUCCCCCUCCCUGGAUGCCUGUCGGAGAGGCGUGACCCUCUUUGCUUCUUCUGCUUCGUGUGUGUGUGUGUGUGUGAGAGAGAGAGAGAGAGAGAGAGAGAGAGAGAGAGAGAGAGAGAUGUCGUGGUCUAUCUUUCAGAGGAGGAUCGCUCUCGCUCACUCGAGGAUGGUGGUCUCAAUCGACUGUUUUCUCACUCUCCUCUUGCAUUGAAGUAACCACCCGCCAAUAUGCUGCUACUCCAACUAAAGAAAAUCCAUUAGAAAAAAAAAUGCAUUUCAUUAUUUGGGCUUCCUUCUUUUUUUGCGAUGGUGGGCUGCUGAGACAUAAAGAUGUUUGCUGGAUUAUCCUGAAAGACAAAGUAAGGAACUAACCUAUUCAAUGGUUGUCUGGGUUGUGGGAUGGGGACAAACUUUUCUAUGACCGAGGACUUAACCUGAAGAGGUUGUUUACUUGUUUCAUCUAAGCGAAUAUAAGAGAUACAACUAGAUGAACUCUGACACUGAUUGGAUUAUGUGUACCUUGUUGGAUUAUAGUCGGGGCAUAUGGCUUCUAUGCAUGCCCUGCUCUUUUCUCCUUUGGACAUUCCUUUUCUCUAUUUGCUUGUUAUGGAAGAAAUUUCAAAUGAGAUAAACUUUUUCUUGUAAUAUUUCCUUGCCUGGGGCGCUUGGUCUUGGGGUUUCCUGUGAAAAGAGUAAUGCUUUUCCUGCAUAUAUUACUGAAGCAAUUGGUAAAUCCUGACCUAAAAUGGCCUCUGUUGCGGUGGGCUGAUUACACUACCAAAUAGUAAGACAUGAAUGCACAUACCUUUCCUUCUUGGUUUGUUAAACUGAUAAGCUCUUUCGUUGCAGGGUACUCACUGUUCAGUUCAAUGCAGAUGUUGCUGAUCAUGUCAUGGAAGUUUGUUCCGACACAACGAGAAGUAAGAGUUAGGCCAGGAGAAAGUGCCCUUGCUUUUUAUACUGCUGAAAAUCUAAGUUCGGCACCUAAACUGGUGUCUCCACAUACAAUGUUACACCAAUGAAGGCUGCAAUUUACUUCAAUAAGAUCCAGUGCUUCUGCUUUGAGGAACAACGUCUUCUCCCAGGGGAGCAAGUUGACAUGCUUGCGUUUUUCUACAUUGAUCCUGAAUUUGAAGAAGAUCCAGAAAUGGAUGGCAUCAACAAUUUAAUAUUAUCAUAUACUUUCUUUAAGGUCAAUGAUUAACG